rnacentral:rRNA from 1 species
GAUGAACGCUGGCGGCGUGCCUAAUACAUGCAAGUCGAGCGAACAGACGAGGAGCUUGCUCCUCUGACGUUAGCGGCGGACGGGUGAGUAACACGUGGAUAACCUACCUAUAAGACUGGGAUAACUUCGGGAAACCGGAGCUAAUACCGGAUAAUAUAUUGAACCGCAUGGUUCAAUAGUGAAAGACGGUUUUGCUGUCACUUAUAGAUGGAUCCGCGCCGCAUUAGCUAGUUGGUAAGGUAACGGCUUACCAAGGCGACGAUGCGUAGCCGACCUGGGAGGGUGAUCGGCCACACUGGAACUGAGACACGGGUCAAACUCCUUGGGGGAGGAGCAGUAGGGAAUCUUCCGCAAUGGGCGAAAGCCUGACGGAGCAACGCCGCGUGAGUGAUGAAGGUCUUCGGAUCGUAAAACUCUGUUAUUAGGGAAGAACAAAUGUGUAAGUAACUAUGCACGUCUUGACGGUACCUAAUCAGAAAGCCACGGCUAACUACGUG